GUGCUUGCUUCAGCAGCACAUAUACUAAAACUGGACCAGUAUAGGGAUAGCAUGGCUGUGCACAAGGAUGACAUGCAAAUUUGUGAAGCAGUCCAUAUUUUC
ensembl:snRNA U6 U6 spliceosomal RNA